CUUCACGGUUUACGCCUGCAAGAGCAAGAAUGCCCGGAACCCCCUGCUGAAGUGGGCGGUGGGCGAAGGGGCCCUCAACGAGUUUGCCUUCUCGCCCGACGGGCGCUACCUGGCGUGCGUCAGCCAAGACGGCUGCCUGCGUGUCUUCCACUUCGACUCCAUGCUGUUGCAGGGCAUGAUGAAGAGCUACUUUGGGGGGCUGCUGUGCGUCUGCUGGAGCCCCGACGGGCGCUACAUCGUCACGGGGGGCGAGGACGACCUGGUCACGGUGUGGUCCUUUGCGGAGGGACGGGUCAUCGCCCGGGGCCACGGCCACAAGUCCUGGGUCAACGCCGUGGCCUUCGACCCCUACACCACCAGCACGGAGGACGAGGAGAGCGGGGAGCUGAGUGGCAGCGACGAGGACCUCCAGGACCCGUCCGAGUUUGGGCGGGUGAGGACCAGCAGCACUCUCUCCCACCUGUCCAAGCACAGCGCCAAAAGCACCCCUUCGGUCACCUACCGCUUCGGCUCCGCCGGGCAGGACACCCAGUUCUGCCUCUGGGACCUGACGGAAGACGUCCUGUACCCCCACCCGCUGCUGACCCGCACCCGAACGCUCACCAACGCCUUCGGCGCCAGCAUCCCUCCCUCGGGCAGCGGGGGCAGCAACCUGGCCGCCGAGUCGGGCGGCGGAGGGGGCCCGCUCCCCCGCUCCCUCUCCCGCUCCAACAGCCUGCCCCACCCGGCCGUCACCAGUGCUGCCAAAAGCCACGCGGCGGACGGGGCGGUGCCCUUCAGCAUCGGCAAGUUCGCCACCCUCACCCUGCAGGAGCGGAGGGACAAGAACGCGGAGAAAGAGCACAAACGUUACCACAGCCUGGGCAACAUCAGCAAGAGCAGCGACAAGCUGAACGUGGUGCCCAAGAGCAAGCUGGACACGGCCAAGGUCUUGGGCACGGCCCUGUGCCCCCGCAUCCAUGAGGUGCCCCUGCUGGAGCCCCUGGUGUGCAAGAAGAUUGCCCACGAGCGGCUGACGGUCUUGCUUUUCCUGGAGGACUGUAUUAUCACCGCCUGCCAGGAAGGCCUGAUCUGCACCUGGGCCAGGCCAGGCAAGGCGAUCCUGAAUUCCCAGAACGGGGGCUCUCCCAGCGGCACAAUCGUGUAAGCGGCACUAACUCAACGCUCGGCUUGGAUACUGGAGUGGAACUGAUUGCGGUUCCUUCGCUCCACCGCAGCAAACGUGACCAAGACGGGAAAAGUUUUCUGACAUUUUCAACGUGUGUACAGGUUGUCUCUCUCCCCCCCCCCUUCCCUCCCCCCCUCGCCCGUGAAACCUGACUGUGUGGCAAGUUGGAAUCCUUAACCGCUAACCUCUCGAGGCCGACGACGUUAGUGCAGGAUGAACGGCGGCCUCUCCGCUAUUUAAAAAAAGUUCCAGUAUUUCUGUCGACCGGAGGUAUAGCCAUCCGUACCUCUUGUCCGGCAGAGGGUUCUCUCUCGGACUUCCUCUG